CCUGCCCCCGCCUCUUCGCGACGGAGCAGGAGCUUUAAGGCGCGCGCGGGAGAUGGCGGGUUAUAAAACUGACGCUCGGCUCAAAGCGGGGAUGGGUGGGCCUGCGAAGCAACUGCUUCCCCGUGGGCGGGCGGCUAGGAAAGUUCCCCGACUCUUCUGCUGUUGGAGGAAGAAAACCAAGAUUCAAGAUCUCGCGAGGAGGCGCUUAGACGCGACUGAGGCUGCGAGAAGCCCAGGAAGGUUUUACGCUGAGGCGGGCGGCUUAUAGAAGGAAGGAGCGAUCUCCUUUUGCUGCGGAGGUGUAUCCAUUCGAUUCCAGGAAAAAGCAGCUGAGAACUUCUCAGUUAUCAAAAUAUAUUGCUUUUUAUUGGUCCAAACCUCCAUGAUGUCGAAGAUGUCCUCCGUUGGGAAAAAAACACAAUCCCCGCACAAAAAUAGUCCAUACAAGAUAAUACAAACAAGAAAUGUAAUGAAGAGUGUAGCUGCUUGCAUUGGUCUUACCACAAUUCUGAGAAAAUGCUCGUGAAGAACGGGUAAAAGGAAUAUUUGCACAAUUUCUUUUGACUGGUAGAGCCAGAAGCCUGUCAUCUGGAAACAACCUAAGUCAUAUAACUCACACUUUUUGACAGAUUGAAGAUUUGGUGGCAGAAUCUGCUUUCUUACUACAAAAUGGCAUUAAGAAAGCAGACUGGAAUUUACUGAUGAAGUUGUAAUAACCAUGAUCAUACUAAGUCAUGAUUUGUUUUACAAAUCACAAUGGGUGGAUUUUUACAAUAAACUAAAAUCAAAUAAGCCACAUAUUAUGUGAACCAG